rnacentral:rRNA from 1 species
UACGGAGGGGGCUAGCGUUGUCCGGAUUGACUGGGCGUAAAGCGCACGCAGGCGGUGGUGCGCGUGGGGUGUGAAAUCUGGCCGCUUAACGGCCAGGCGCCAUCCCAUACGGCACGACUGGAGGGCUGCAGAGGUCGAUGGAAUUGCCGGUGUAGUGGUGGAAUGCGUAGAGAUCGGCAGGAACACCCAGGGGGAAACCAGUCGACUGGGCAGCACCUGACGCUGAGGUGCGAGAGCGUGGGGAGCGAACCGG